GCCAAUGUGGCAUAGUGGUUUGGGUGUUGGGCUAGGAUUCUGGAGACCAGGGUUUGAAUCCUGGCUUAGCCA